CAGUCGCCGCGGUAAUACGUAGGUGGCAAGCGUUGCCCGGAAUUAUUGGGCGUAAAGGGCUCGCAGGCGGUUUCUUAAGUCUGAUGUGAAAGCCCCCGGCUCAACCGGGGAGGGUCAUUGGAAACUGGGAAACUUGAGUGCAGAAGAGGAGAGUGGAAUUCCACGUGUAGCGGUGAAAUGCGUAGAGAUGUGGAGGAACACCAGUGGCGAAGGCGACUCUCUGGUCUGUAACUGACGCUGAGGAGCGAAAGCGUGGGGAGCAAACAGGAUUAGAUACCCCUGUAGUCCCUGUCUCUUAUAC
rnacentral:rRNA from 1 species